GGGACGCGCAAAGGACCGCGUAUAUUUGAUUGCAGCCCAGACGUAUGUGCAUCGCACGUACCCUGCUGUAGGGAAAGUCCCCGGACAUAUGCCAUGGUAUCAGAUCCCACAUGGGACAUGCGCCGACCCCUUGUGCGUCUGGAUAUCGUGUGGCGGUGUAGCGCGCUCACGUAUGGCAAAACACGAAGCUGCGUCGCAUCCAUGCAGCUGCGAGUGCGACGAGGUGUACGCGUUGGGAAAGCUCAUGUACUGUCAUGGUGCAUGGCGUGCCUGAUCGCGCUGGCAUGGUGCAUGGCUGUGGUGGACUCGAUGUGCCAUGCGGUGAUCGUUGACUGUGCCGUGAUAUGCCGCAUGGUGACGUAGCGCGGGGCAGGUAUGUGUGCUCUAUGAGCUGCGAAGAUAGGAGCGUUCAUGGAGCUUCAUACCAGCACCGUUCUGUGGCGCCAUGCUGAGCAUGCGUGGUAUCGAGGUAGCGUGCACUGGGUGGGUGUAUGUGCGUAGCGUCUGUGCCGAUCGUUCGUCCAAGAUAUAGUUAUGCGGUCGCCGGCGCGAGGCGGUAACACAAUGGGGCUUACUCUUGUGCGUCU